rnacentral:rRNA from 1 species
GAUGAACGCUAGCGGGAGGCCUAACACAUGCAAGCCGAGCGGUAUUGUUUCUUCGGAAAUGAGAGAGCGGCGUACGGGUGCGUAACACGUGUGCAACCUGCCUUUAUCUGGGGGAUAGCCUUUCGAAAGGAAGAUUAAUACUCCAUAAUAUAUUGAACGGCAUCGUUUAAUAUUGAAAGCUCCGGCGGAUAGAGAUGGGCACGCGCAAGAUUAGCUAGUUGGUGGGGUAACGGCUCACCAAGGCGAUGAUCUUUAGGGGGCCUGAGAGGGUGAUCCCCAACACUGGUACUGAGACACGGACCAGACUCCUACGGGAGGCAGCAGUGAGGAAUAUUGGUCAAUGGGUGCAAGCCUGAACCAGCCAUCCCGCGUGAAGGACGACUGCCCUAUGGGUUGUAAACUUCUUUUGUAUAGGGAUAACCUACCCUCGUGAGGGUAGCUGAAGGUACUAUACGAAUAAGCACCGGCUAACUCCGUGCCAGCCGCCGCCGUAA